GAUGAAGAACGUAGCGAAAUGCGAUAAGUAGUGUGAAUUGCAGAAUUCAGUGAAUCAUCGAAUCUUUGAACGCACAUUGCGCCCCUUGGUAUUCCAUGGGGCAUGCCUGUUCGAGCAUCAUUUGUACCUUCAAGCUCUGCUUGGUGUUGGGUGUUUGUCUCGCCUCUGCGUGUAGACUCGCCUUAAAACAAUUGGCAGCCGGCGUAUUGAUUUCGGAGCGCAGUACAUCUCGCGCUUUGCACUCAUAACGACGACGUCCAAAAGUACAUUUUUACACUCUUGACCUCGGAUCAGGUAGGGAUACCCGCUGAACUUAAGCAUAUCAAUAAGCGGAGGA
rnacentral:misc_RNA from 1 species